AUCAAUUGCUCUUUGCUUCAGGUGACCAGACUUUAAGAGUUUGGGAUGUGAAAGCCCCAGGAGUCAAACUUGUGAUACCUGCCCACCAGGCUGAGAUCUUGAGCUGUGACUGGUGCAAAUAUGACGAGAACUUGCUGGUAACUGGUGCAGUCGACUGUAGCUUGAAAGGCUGGGAUUUGCGGAACAUCCGGCAGCCAGUGUUCAUCUUGCUUGGUCAUACCUACGCCAUCAGAAGAGUAAAAUUUUCACCAUUCCAUGCAACUUUAUUGGCCUCUUGCUCCUAUGAUUUUACUGUGAG